GGCACUUUGGCCGAGUGGUCUAAGGCGCCGUGUUCAGGCUGAGAUGCGCUCCUUGGUACAUCUUCCUCCUCGCGGUCUAGUAAUAGGCGAGGGUUCGAAUCCCUCAGGUGUCA